rnacentral:lncRNA from 1 species
CCAUCACCAUGCUGGGGAAGAGGAGGAGGAGGGAAGGACAGGAUUGCAGGGCGGCAGGAAGCUCGUGGUGCAUGGCCAUGAGUCGCACGAUGCCGGGUGAAGGUGGGGUGUGAGUGGGUGUUUGUGUGGGGCUGGGGUUGUGGGGGGCAGUGGGGAGCCUUGAGGGGGUUGAGGGUGCAGGGCAGAGAGCUGGUGCUGCUGUGUGUCCUCCUGGCUGCCCGGGGUGCAGGAGCAAUGUGGGAGCCAUUCCCAAGGCAGGAACAGCGUGGCAUCACCGCUGCACUGGCACUGGCACUGAAGUGACUGCAAAAGGGUCCCCAAGCACCAAACCUGGCCUGUGCUGGGGGAAGGAGCUGGUACCGAAGGCAAACAGAUGCUGGCAGUCCCAAAUCUCACAGCACCCCGGUUCCUGCUGCUCUGCACCCCUGAAGGACCCUGGCUGUGCCUGGGGAUGUCCACUCUGCACCAACCCCAGCAGGACAAACCUCCCUCAGCACCCAUCACCUGCAGGAGCCAGGGCAGGGAUCCCAGCUUUGAGGGCAUCAGCAUCUCCCUGGGAGUGAUGAGGAGUGAGCUCUGAGCAGGGGGAGCAGCUCUGCCCAUUCCUGCAUUGGAUAUCGGGAUUAAACACAGCGGCCUGCUGCAGUCUGGUCCCCAAAAUGUUCAGGGAAGGAUCCUCCUGGAUGGCACCACCGCAGCCUUUCCAGCCCCCGUCAUUGCCCAGAGGACGAAGCCGUGCGCCCGCCCCGCGCUGCCCAGCGCAGGGCCAGGAGGGCAGGAACGCUCCCCGUGUCACGGGAUGAUCCCCCCAUCUCCCCCUCUCCCUCGUUUUCCUCCGUAUUUCACAGUUCCUGCUUCCUGCACAAGGCAGGGGUCUCCAGGGACUCCAGCCAGAUGUUCUCUGCAGCACACCACAUUGCUUUCCUAAUGAAAUAUUCAUGGAGCCUCUCCGCCUCUUGCCAUGAAAGCCUUCUGCAGCUCCCAGCCAUGGAAACGCUGCGCAGGCAGCAUUCCUGCAAAGCUCCCGGCCCCCUGCUUCCCGCUCGGCUCCUCCACCUUCCUCUUCCUCCUCCCACCAGCGGGGGCUUUGUCCGCUCUCGCCUUGCAGGAGCACUGAGAGGUGGCAUCAGGCCAGAGGGAUGCAGGAGAUGCCAGCCAGUGACUGACCCAGCACACUGCCACCAUCCUCCCUCACAUCACCAGCUCUGGGUGUUCCAACAGCACCAGAACAUCCUGGACUGGCAGAAAAUCCCUGCAGCUCCAGCUCGAGUCAGUGUGAGGUGGCACAGGGGACAGCGCCGUGUCCCUGUGCCCGCCCAGGGAUGGGCACGGCGAGCAGGGGAGCAGGGCUGGCUCUGCA